rnacentral:lncRNA from 1 species
CUGACCUUAAUGAACCAGUGGCUACAGAAGUUGAAAUGCAUGUUGGUCAAGAGGAGGAUCAACUUGGAGGUGAUGUACAGGGAGGUGCCAACCAUAACCAUCCAGGUGACCUUGCAAGCAAGAAUAGUAAACGAUCGAUCUUUGUACAUAUGACUUGCAUAAAUCACUCUAAAUCUUUGGCAUUUUUUUUUAAAAAAGAUACCAUGUGCAUUGAUGGAACUGCUAUGUUCUUGGUUUUUUUUCUCUUUGUUCUUUACCAGCUCGAUUCUGUGAAUGAGUUGGGCAUAUUGAAGUUCAUUCCCUUCCAUAAUAUCACAAGUUAUACAUGUAUCUAGCUAUAACUAAUCAAAUAGUGCUCACAUGAUGCUUAUCUUCUGUCUACGAUCAAUCCUCAUAUGCUAGAUUCUACAUGUAUAAUUUCCUUUACAGUACCACUGAUAUUGAGCUAGUAUUAGUAUAUAUCAAAGUUAGAUUGCACCUUCAAUACAGAUCACAAAAAUCCCUGAACUUCAGCACCAAAGUUUGUACAAUGUAGAAAAGUCAUUCAAGUAUGGCCAUAAUAUAACUAGAGCAGCAAAAUACCCAAUGGUUCUCCUGACUACAGCACAAGCACCUUUUGAUAAAAUCACAAUCAUGAAUAGCACAAGUUAGGGAAAAAGAAACAUGAGCACUUCCAUGAGUUUAUUUACAGCUGACAUGGACCUCUAUUGAAAAACAAGGUGAAGAGUACAAUAACAAAAUAGGUAGACAACAAAACUAAAUUUGAGAUGGAUAUAAAAUUGGUACCUUGAUUGUGGUUUUCAGAUAUGAUAAUCUCCUUUGCUGAUGUUGUACUGCACAAAGUAACCUAUAUUAAUCAUUGGUUCCAUUAUAUAUAUAGCAUAACAGAUCAGUUAUUCAUAGAAGUAUUUGGCUACAUUGGAAGAGUAGUAUAAGCAUUAUUACUUUUAGUCACACAUAUCCAGUUAGGCCAAUAUGCAUGGCAUGUCAAAUAGCAAGUAUCAGCACUAAUGAUUGGUUGUAAUAAUGCAAUGUGUGAGCUAUCUGAGUAUAAUGGCCCAUAAUUAUUUUAUUGUAGAAUGUAAUAAAAUAGCUGCAAUAGUAUUGUACCUAACAAAAUAUUGAUAUUAGACUUGGUACUCACAUGGUAAUUGUUAUUGUAGACGGUGCCGAUGCCAUGGAUGAAAUUCUGCAAAUUUAUGGAGGUCACAACCAACAUGGCUUUCCUUUUGAUGUUAACUCUGAUGCCUAUGAGGAACAUCUACAAAUGCAAGCAGGUAAAGCACUUUUAGCUGACAUGGAUAACAAACUUAGUAAAAUUAAUAAAAUGUGGUUGUACAUAAAGCACCACUGAAGAAUAAGAUUAAUUAACUGAAACCAUGUUUUUAAUUAGAAGAUACUAAUAUGACAUCAUGCGAACUACCUAGAAUAAUCUAAACAUAACAUUGGAUGCAUUAGUUGCAAAUUAUGGACUGUCAAUUUGACAUUUCAGCACAUAAAGUAAAUUGUGUCAAUGUUUCUAUGUCCUUCUGAAAUCUAAAAUCAGCCAUAAGUUUACAACCAUGUUGAUCCAUGAUAAUAAAAUAUCCACCAUCUAAAUUGGUACAGACGACUCACCUUGUAAUUGUUGUUGUAGACAUGCAGGAGUACGGUGUGUAUGCUGGUGAUGUGGAAAUUGUUUUUGAACA